rnacentral:rRNA from 1 species
GACGAACGCUGGCGGCGUGCCUAACACAUGCAAGUCGAGCGGAACUAUUAGCAAUAAUAGUUUAGCGGCGGACGGGUGAGUAACGCGUGGGCAACCUACCUCAUACAGGGGGAUAACACAGGGAAACUUGUGCUAAUACCGCAUAAUAUCAUGGGAGGACAUCCUUCUAUGAUCAAAGGAGCAAUCCGGUGUGAGAUGGGCCCGCGUCCAAUUAGCUAGUUGGUGGGGUAACGGCCCACCAAGGCGACGAUUGGUAGCCGAACUGAGAGGUUGAUCGGCCACAUUGGGACUGAGACACGGCCCAGACUCCUACGGGAGGCAGCAGUGGGGAAUAUUGCGCAAUGGGGGAAACCCUGACGCAGCAACGCCGCGUGAAGGAUGAAGGUUUUCGGAUUGUAAACUUCUUUGAUGAGGGACGAAUAAUGACGGUACCUCAAAAACAAGCCACGGCUAACCACGUGCCAGCAGCCGCAGUAAUAC